rnacentral:miRNA from 15 species
CAGCUUGCUGCCAUCCAUGUAU